UACGGGGGGGGCAAGCGUUGGUUCGGAAUUACUGGGCGUAAAGGGCUCGUAGGCGGCCAACUAAGUCCGACGUGAAAUCCCCAGGCUUAACCUGGGAACUGCGUCGGAUACUGGAUGGCUUGAAUCCGGGAGAGGGAUGGCAGAAUUCCAGGUGUAGCGGUGAAAUGCGCAGAUAUCAGGAGGAACACCAAUUGCGAAGGCAGCUCGCUGGGACGUUACUGACGCUGAGACGCGAAGCGUGGGGAGCAAACAGG
rnacentral:rRNA from 1 species